GAUCAUGGUCAGGAUGAACGCUAGCGGCAGGCUUAACACAUGCAAGUCGAGGGGCAACGCGAGUAGCAAUACUUGGCGGCGACCGGCGCAAGGGUGCGUAACGCGUGAGCAACAUGCCCGUAUCAGGGGGAUAAUCCAGGGAAACUUGGUCUAAUACCCCAUAGUAAUUUUGUAAGGCAUCUUAUAAGAUUUAAAGCUUUGGUGGAUACGGAUUGGCUCGCGUGACAUUAGCUGGAUGGUAAGGUAACGGCUUACCAUGGCUAUGAUGUCUAGGGGUUCUGAGAGGAAGGUCCCCCACACUGGAACUGAGACACGGUCCAGACUCCUACGGGAGGCAGCAGUGAGGAAUAUUGGACAAUGGAUGGAAAUCUGAUCCAGCCAUGCCGCGUGAAAAGGAAGAAGGUCCUAUGGAUUGUAAACUUCUUUUGUAUGGGAGCAAUAAGGCCUACGAGUAGGUUGAUGAGAGUACCAUACGAAUAAGCACCGGCUAACUCCGUGCCAGCCGCCGC
rnacentral:rRNA from 1 species